GCGUGAGCGGACGAAACAACAACACCUAAAAUGUGGAAUAUAGCAUAUAGUCGACAAGAGAAAUCUACGAAAAAACAAACAAAACUUUCAACAACGGAUCUCUUGGUUCUCGCAUCGAUGAAGAGCGCAGCGAAAUGCGAUACCUAGUGUGAAUUGCAGCCAUCGUGAAUCAUCGAGUUCUUGAACGCACAUUGCGCCCCUCGGCAUUCCGGGGGGCAUGCCUGUUUGAGCGUCGUUUCCAUCUUGCGCGUGCGCAGAGUUGGGGGAGCGGAGCGGACGACGUGUAAAGAGCGUCGGAGCUGCGACUCGCCUGAAAGGGAGCGAAGCUGGCCGAGCGAACUAGACUUUUUUUCAGGGACGCUUGGCGGCCGAGAGCGAGUGUUGCGAGACAACAAAAAGCUCGACCUCAAAUCAGGUAGGAAUACCCGCUGAACUUAAGCAUAUA
rnacentral:rRNA from 1 species